UAGACAGUAGGGGGAGCUAACACCAAGGUGAGUAGACUGAGAUGAUGGAACCAUAAAGGAAGAGGAGAUUUCAGAUGUGCAUCAUGGAUGUAGAAGGUAAAGAAGGGAAGUGCAUGGUGAGAUGUAAUCAGUCAGUCAAUCAGGUGGAUGUGUUGGCACAGUGUGCUUCAUGUUACCAGCCUGAUUUGUUUGGGUGGAUGACAGAACAGGUUAAAAAAGAGGCCAGAACAGGUUCAAAUGAUCAAUACAACCCACAUUGUGAGUUCUGAAACGGACAGUAAUUGUGGGAAAUGGGACCUGAGAUAAAAACAGACUUUACAGAGAACUUUUAAAGUUGUUUAAAUCAGAUUUGGUAAACUGGGACUCUUGGAGAGCUGUGCUAUUUGCGCCCACGUGGAGUAUUACUCUCAUAAUGGAGGACGGAAAUGACCUGGAGAUUAUUUAGGAUGUCAGGCACCUGGGAAACAGUGAUAAUGACUGCAAAGAAACGCACAGUCCUGGUGAUGAAAUCCUCCAUAUCCUCCACGGUGUGCGCAGAGUUCACCUGCCGAGGAUGGAGCACCACAGCAGCGCAGCCAGCAGCUAGAGGAUGUCGAGCAAACAUCGAAUUUCUGGCUCAACUAACCCCACCAACAGAACAGUCCUUCGAUGAUGGUUAUCAACUUGCAUAAGUUACCAUGGCGGUCUACCCCGGGGUGUGGUCGCUAAGAAGGGAGGCUGUCCGACAACCAUUUCAUACAAGAUGACACCGACGCUCCACCAAUCACAGAGCUGGGUGUAUCCUGGAGGAGAUUAAAGACAUUUUUACAUCAAGCACACUGCAACAAC